CUGCGGAGGGAUCAUUAAAGAGUUGUAAAACUCCCAAACCCACUGUGAACAUACCUCUGUUGCCUCGGCGGCCCUCUUUGGGGGUCGCCGAAGGACUUUAAAACUCUGUUUUAUAUGUCAUCUCUGAGAAAAUACAUAAUAAGUCAAAACUUUCAACAACGGAUCUCUUGGUUCUGGCAUCGAUGAAGAACGCAGCGAAAUGCGAUAAGUAAUGUGAAUUGCAGAAUUCAGUGAAUCAUCGAAUCUUUGAACGCACAUUGCGCCCAUUAGUAUUCUAGUGGGCAUGCCUGUUCGAGCGUCAUUAAGUCCACUUAAGCCCUGCUUAGUGUUGGGAGUCUACUUGAGCGGUGCUACCCGGGAGUUACCCUGUAGUUACCCUGUAGUUCCUUAAAGACAGCGGCGGAGUUGUGAUAUCCUCUGAGCUUAGUAAUUUACACCUAGCUUUCGAGAAAAUCAUAGCACUUGCCGUAAAACACCCUUCUUCUGAAUGGUUGACCUCGGAUCAGGUAGGAAUACCCGCUGAACUUAAGCAUAUCAAA
rnacentral:rRNA from 1 species